rnacentral:rRNA from 1 species
GAUGGUUGUUGCUGGCUUCCCUCUGGGAAGCACUGUGCACGCCCUCUUGCUUGUUUCC